AUUUUGCUGGCUUACCUUCUAAACAGUGGUGGUGUUCUGCCUUCAGUCCUUAAGUGCUAAUGUUUGUGGUGUGGACUUAUUCCAUCCUAUGCUGUUGCUACUGUAUGUGAGAGCUUUGAACCAUUCCCACACAUCCUGUCACUGAAUACCAGGUAGAAGAGAUCAGCAAAGAUGCAAAGCCUAGGUAACUGGAAGAAAUUGGAAGAAAUAAAACUAGCUCAGUGAAGCACUAUGGAGGCAGAAGGUGAACUGCCUGCAGUGUCCCAGCAUGAAACUACCAAAGAAGAAGGGCUCUUUGAUAAAUCAGUCAGUCAACUGACUACAAAUAAAUUUAGUUUGAAAGCAGUUGAUAUACCAAACAUCAGAGGAACAAAGCUCUGCAACAGCUUGUACUUCAAAAGACAAGGAACCUCAGAUUUGUUUUCUUUUGGACUCUGUCAGAGUUCUGAAUUGCAUUAAAUAGUGCCGUUUAUAACAAAAAGGGAUUUAUUAUCAUGAAUUACAGGCCCAGAAUAGUUUUAUGUUGUGUUUUCCAUGCUGUGGCAACCAUUAUUUCUUUGAGUACAACAGCUUUUUUGCCCUGAAGGAAGAAGGACAUCAUGAUUACAUCAUAAAAUGAAGUUCUGUGGAUUUGAAUUAGACUUGCCAUGUAGAGUUUUGAGCAAUAACCUAGGCUUUGAUCCUCAAAUUUCUCCUGCUGUGAAAUUAGGAUGAUGAUAAUUGUCUGCUUUACAAGGAUACUGAGGAUUAAAUCAAUUAACAAUAUUUGUUUAGAGGAGGCUACAUAAAUGCCAAAAACUAUUCUAUGACUAGGAAACACUGUUUUGUUUCUCUCUUAAUCCACCUAAUCUGAAAUGAUUGGUCCUUAAAUUGUUAUCUGGAUACAUGACUGCAAAGAUAUACAUGUUAGACACAGCAAAACUCCAGGAAGUAAUGUCAGCUGACAAAAAAACCAUCCUGGUCUAGAUCAAAUUUUAGUAUUAUGCCUCCGCAACGUCACUAGAGAUUAUUCAGUGAUUGAACAGGAGAGCAAAAUGAGAGCUUCUGUUACCUCCAGGGUUACGCUUACUUUUUCAAAUCUUUUUCAUCUGUUGAAUUUGAUUGUCCUCAUAAAGCAAAUAAAUGUGUUGUUUAUAUAA